AGAGUUUGAUCCUGGCUUAGGACGAACGCUGGCGGCGUGCCUAACACAUGCAAGUCGAGCGGAGUCGGUAAGAGGAAGUUUCGGAUGGAAUCUAUUGAUUUAGCGGCGGACGGGUGAGUAACGCGUGAGCGACCAACCUUGCACAGGGGGAUAACGGACCGAAAGGUUCACUAAUACCGCAUGAGACCACGGUGUUGCAUGACACAGAGGUCAAAGGAGCAAUCCGGUGCAAGACGGGCUCGCGUCCGAUUAGGUAGUUGGAGGGGUAACGGCCCACCAAGCCUAUGAUCGGUAGCCGACCUGAGAGGGUGAUCGGCCACAUUGGAACUGAGAUACGGUCCAAACUCCUACGGGAGGCAGCAGUGGGGAAUAUUGGGCAAUGGGGGGAAAAACCCCCUGACCCAGCAACGCCGCGUGAAGGAAGAAGGUUUUCGGAUUGUAAACUUCUGUCCUUGGUGAAGAGAAGAAGACGGUAGCCAAGGAGGAAGCCCCGGCUAACUACGUGCCAGCAGCAGC
rnacentral:rRNA from 1 species